rnacentral:lncRNA from 1 species
GGCAGGAUUGGUUCCUGCAUGAUCAUUUGAGAGAAAGGAGGGUCAGUGCAGAUGUCCUCACCGUAAGCAGUGGGAGCGCGGCAGAGCUCUUCGAUUCGCCGGUUCAUCUCCUGGAAUCUCUGAUCCAGGAGGUCCUCUCGAUUGCGGGCCUCGAGGGUCUUCUGGUGGAGCAGAGGCAGGGACUCUCCGGGGGUUGAAUCAUGAUCGGACGGAGGACUCUCCACCUUCUAUUUUUCUUUUCUAGGAAAGACAG